GUGAAAGUAGAUGUGGUGUGGUUUAAAUUUUCUGCAGGUCUGUAGCAGUGAACAUUGAAAGCCAAGCCUAAGUGUGAAAACUAUCAAAGACAUGGGCAGCUAUGUCAGCUCUCUGGUCAGAUCAUUCUUCUGGUGGACAAGCAGCAGUUCAACACCUGCAAACAGUCUGACAGCCAAUCAGACUCAGACGGAGGCAUCAGAGAAUUCAAAUGAAAAUGACAUCCAAGUCACAAAACCUCCUCACACAUUGGUGUCUGAGGUCCAGGAGGGGAGCAGUCCUGCACAAACCACUGUAAACUCACAUUCGGGUCAUUCUGGUAUGAAACGCCUACUUUAUAACUCUAACCCUAUACAAUCAAUUCCCAAUAGAUGAAAUCAACUCAGGUUUUUGUGAUCUUGAUGUUAUUUAAUCAUUGUUUUGCUCUCUUAUUUCAGAUCAUCCUCACAUCCCACCACAGUACUGCUCAAACUCAUUCACUGACCCCGAUGAAACCGCCAAAGUGGACAAGAUCAACCUCAAUGUAAAAUGUGCUGGAAAGACCAAGGAAGUGGACGUGUUCCCACUGGAACGUAUCUCCGUUUUACUAAAGGUGGCCUGUGAAUGGGCAGGGAAGAAACCAGAGAAAAUGUCGCUGGUUUAUGAAGGAAAUCAUCUGGAUGUGAGCAAGACAGUGAGUCACUAUGGACUACGAGGAGGAACCACCGUACAUUUGAUUCAUGCCUAGGAAUCAUAUCUCACAAACAAGUUCUCUUAUAAUACACAAGUACACUACAUCAAAUAUUGUAAAAA
rnacentral:lncRNA from 1 species